AAACUCACUUGCAGGGGAAAAACAAAACAACGUUUUCUCUUUUUCUUUAGUAAGUUAAUUAAUUAAUUAAACGUAGUUAGAACCUCCCUCAAAGUCCCGAUGACUUUGCAAGAAACAUGUCGUCCUUAAAUACUGGGUAAGUCUAUUAAACAGUGACAUAGCAUUGUUACCCUGUAUAUCAUGUUGUCACAGCUAUAAUGUGCAGUAUUACAAACUAUUUAUAAGUGUUGUGCAAACUGUUCAUUAAAAGCCAGCGGUCUAGUGAGCUAUAGAACAUUUUUUUUAUUUAUUCUUUAAAGCUCUGACAUCAAUCGGCAAAGCAAUAUUGUAAUGGUGUCCAUUGCAAUCUGCUGUUUUACUUGCUGCUCUCAAAAAUUCUGAAUAUGUUCAGAGAUUUCUUGGGCAAUUAUAAAUCCCCAAAAACAACAACUUUGCAUUCAUGCUAAACCUGACUGUUGUAAACGUAUUCUGUAUAUUUCUUGUCAUAAGUACUUGUACUUAAAUCUGUUUAACAAAG